GAUGAACGCUGGCGGCGUGACUAAUACAUGCAAGUCGAGCGAACAGACGAGGAGCUUGCUCCUUUGAUGUUAGCGGCGGACGGGUGAGUAACACGUAGGUAACCUACCUAUAAGACUGGGAUAACUUCGGGAAACCGGAGCUAAUACCGGAUAAUAUUUCGAACCGCAUGGUUCGAUAGUGAAAGAUGGCUUUGCUAUCACUUAUAGAUGGACCUGCGCCGUAUUAGCUAGUUGGUAAGGUAACGGCUUACCAAGGCAACGAUACGUAGCCGACCUGAGAGGGUGAUCGGCCACACUGGAACUGAGACACGGUCCAGACUCCUACGGGAGGCAGCAGUAGGGAAUCUUCCGCAAUGGGCGAAAGCCUGACGGAGCAACGCCGCGUGAGUGAUGAAGGUCUUCGGAUCGUAAAACUCUGUUAUUAGGGAAGAACAAACGUGUAAGUAACUGUGCACGUCUUGACGGUACCUAAUCAGAAAGCCACGGCUAACUACGUG
rnacentral:rRNA from 1 species